rnacentral:rRNA from 1 species
CCUACGGGAGGCAGCAGUAGGGAAUAUUGCUCAAUGGGGGAAACCCUGAAGCAGCAACGCCGCGUGGAGGAUGAAGGUUUUCGGAUUGUAAACUCCUUUUGUUAGAGAAGAUAAUGACGGUAUCUAACGAAUACUCACCGGCUAACUCCGUGCCAGCAGCCGCGGUCAUACGGAGGGUGCAAGCGUUACUCGGAAUCACUGGGCGUAAAGAGCGCGUAGGCGGGAUAUCAAGUCAGAUGUGAAAUCCUAUGGCUUAACCAUAGAACUGCAGUUGAAACUGUUAUUCUAGAGUAUGGGAGAGGUAGGUGGAAUUAUUGGUGUAGGGGUAAAAUCCGUAGAGAUCAAGAGGAAUACUCAUUGCGAAGGCGACCUGCUAGAACAUAACUGACGCUGAUGCGCGAAAGCGUGGGGAGCAAACAGGAUUAGAUACCCUGGUAGUC